rnacentral:rRNA from 1 species
UACGUAGGUGGCAAGCGUUAUCCGGAAUUAUUGGGCGUAAAGCGCGCGCAGGCGGUCUCUUAAGUCUGAUGUGAAAUCUCGCGGCCCAACCGUGAGCGGUCAUUGGAAACUGGGAGACUUGAGUGCAGAAGAGAAGAGCGGAAUUCCCGGUGUAGCGGUGGAAUGCGUAGAGAUCGGGAAGAACACCAGUGGCGAAGGCGGUCUGCUGGGCCGUUGCUGACGCUGAGGCGCGACAGCGUGGGGAGCAAACAGG